GUGGGGAAUAUUGGACAAUGGGCGAAAGCCUGAUCCAGCCAUGCCGCGUGAGUGAUGAAGGCCUUAGGGUUGUAAAGCUCUUUCAGUGGGGACGAUAAUGACGGUACCCACAGAAGAAGCCCCGGCUAACUUCGUGCCAGCAGCCGCGGUAAUACGAAGGGGGCUAGCGUUGUUCGGAUUUACUGGACGUAAAGCGCACGUAGGCGGAUCGUUAAGUCAGGGGUGAAAUCCUGGAGCUGAACUCCAGAACUGCCUUUGAUACUGGCGAUCUAGAGUCCGGAAGAGGUGAGUGGAACUCCUAGUGUAGAGGUGGAAUUCGUAGAUAUUAGGAAGAACACCAGUGGCGAAGGCGGCUCACUGGUCCGGUACUGACGCUGAGGUGCGAAAGCGUGGGGAGCAAACAGGAUUAGAUACCCUUGUAGUCC
rnacentral:rRNA from 1 species